GGGCCCGCACAAGCGGUGGAGCAUGUGGUUUAAUUCGAAGCAACGCGAAGAACCUUACCAGGUCUUGACAUCUAGCUAAAAGCUCUAGAGAUAGAGUCAUAGUUAUAGCUAAGACAGGUGGUGCAUGGUUGUCGUCAGCUCGUGUCGUGAGAUGUUGGGUUAAGUCCCGCAACGAGCGCAACCCUUGUCGUUAGUUACCAUCAUUAAGUUGGGGACUCUAACGAGACUGCCUACGCAAGUAGGAGGAAGGCGGGGAUGACGUCAAAUCAUCAUGCCCCUUAUGACCUGGGCUACACACGUGCUACAAUGGAUACUACAAAGAGAAGCGAUACGGUGACGUUCAGCAAAACUCAUAAAAGUAUUCUCAGUUCGGAUUGUAGUCUGCAACUCGACUACAUGAAGUUGGAAUCGCUAGUAAUCGUGAAUCAGCAUGUCA
rnacentral:rRNA from 1 species